UUCUCCAUCUUCACACCAUUCCAUUUUGGUGAAAAACCAAUUGAUGCUUUGCAAUUCUAUUCUACAAACUUUGACCAAUACAUUCAAAAUUCAAAUUUCAUAAAUCCCUCUAAAAGUUUCAAAAACAAUACUUAUCUCUGUUCCUCUCUUUCUUCCUCUUUGUUUUUUUUGCUUCCUCCAUCUCUCUCAUAAGGAAUGAAGAAGCAGCACGCACCAUGAAGGUGGCGGCAGCCUCAAGCUUCAAAGUUCACAAAUCAGGGUUUGAUUGAAUUCACUUCCAUUGCAAUGGUCAGAUCUAUUCUUAUUUCAGGUAUUUUUUUUUGAUACAUUUCAGGGUCGCUUCAAUAGGAAUAGAAGGUGAGAUAGAAGAAGUGUUUUGUUAGAUUGAAAACAAAGAGGCCCUAAAAUCUGAAGAAAGAAUGAAAAUAUUGCCGGCAGUGGCUGAUGCAUUGGAGAAAAACCAAAAUAUGAUAAGGCUUGAGAAUGAGGCUGAUGUUGCUGAUGCUGUGGCAGCAGGAUAUGACAAGUCUUUGAUAUCACGUUUAACCCUCCGACCUGUUUCAAGACCCAUCCCUCAGUGAAAGAGGAUUGUCUGCACUUGAGAAAAUUAAAUGAAACAGAGCACACGAUCCAGCGACGACAAUGCUAUUGUUUGAUUUUGGGUUUGAACUAAAAGGCAACAAGAAUGUAUUCGGGGAGUUUCACAGUGGCUUUAUGAACAAUAGAGAAAGAACUGAUGGUUUCCUGCUCUGCAUUGAUCAAACUAUGAGACUUAGAUGCAGCAUGCAGCCGCCUCAAUCCAUCGGCACAUCCGCCCCACUUAGCCGCAUUGUUCAUCUUGAAAGGGAGCAACAAGGUGCUGCAUGUCAAGCCCAAGGGACAAUGCUGCAGAGCAAAUUAGUAGCUGGACAAAAGGACAAAAAUCAUACUUCUUUGGGCAAAUUUUUGAAUCUGUUUUCCCUCCUCUCAAUCACUUUAGAUUUCAUAUUCUAAUUUUGAUUUUUUUUUCCUUGCAAUAUUUCAUUGUUUGUUCAGGUUGACAAUUAGGGUUUGAAGUAAUAUUUCUCACUUAAUUAGACUAACUACAAUUUAGUAAUUCUAAUUCUAUGUAUUAUCGAUUCAAUCUUAUCCAAUUAGAUUAUUUGCGACUUAUGAAUUCCAAUUUUAAUGAUAAAAUGGUUCAAUAUCAUCUAA